GAGGAAAGUCCGGGCUCCAUAGAGCAGGGUGCCAGGUAACGCCUGGGGGGCGCAAGCCUACGACAAGUGCAGCAGAGAGAAGACCGCCGAUGGCCCAAUUUCUUCGGAAUGGGAACAGGUAAGGGUGAAAGGGUGCGGUAAGAGCGCACCGUGCGUCUGGCAACAGUUCGUAGCAAGGUAAACUCCACCCGGAGCAAGACCAAAUAGGCUUCCACGUUGCGUUGCUCGCGUAAGGAAGCGGGUAGGUUGCUUGAGCCAGUGAGCGAUUGCUGGCCUAGACGAAUGGCUACUGCCGCGCAAGCGGAACAGAACCCGGCUUA
rnacentral:RNase_P_RNA from 1 species